rnacentral:tRNA from 1 species
AAGACUUUAAGUUAAUCUAAACUAAUAACCUUCAAAGUUUUAAAUAUUCAUUUAAGUCUUA